rfam:Schistocephalus solidus strain NST_G2 genome assembly, scaffold: SSLN_scaffold0005390
CCCGUGGCUCAAUGGUCAGAGCGUUUGACUUCCGAUCAACAGGUUGCAGGUUCGAGCCUCGGG